CCGAGUUUACAACUCCCAAACCCAUGUGAACAUACCUAUCGUUGCUUCGGCGGGAUUGCCCCGGGCGCCUCGUGUGCCCCGGAAUCAGGCGCCCGCCGGGGGACCCAAACUCUGUUUUUACUUUGAGUAUCUUCUGAGUCUUGUUUUUAAAUAAAUAA
rnacentral:misc_RNA from 1 species